AUUGAACGCUGGCGGCAGGCCUAAAACAUGCAAGUGGAGCGGUGCGGCGGACGGGUGAGUAAUGCCUAGGAAUCUGACUGGGGGUGGGGGAUGACGUACGGAAACGGGAGCUUAUACCGCAUCCCAUCAGAUGCGCUCAGGUCGGCUUCGCUAGUUGGUGGGGUAAAGGCCUACCAAGGCGACGAUCCGUAACGGGUCUGGGAGGAUGAUCAGUCACACUGGAACGGAGACACGGUCCAGACGCCUACGGGAGGCAGCAUUGGGGAAUAUUGGACAAUGGGGGAAAGCCUGAUCCAGCCAUGCCGCGUGUGUGAAGAGGUCCUUCGGAUUGUAAAGCACUUUAAGUUGGGAGGCGUUACCAACAGAAUAAGCACCGGCUAACUUCGUGCCAGCAGCCGCGGUAAUAC
rnacentral:rRNA from 1 species